CGCUGCUUGGGGCAGCCUCAUGGGUAGAGCUCUGCAAGACCAGGGCUGGUGGGUGCUCCACUUGCAGGGGAUGCGCUUCUCCAGCUCUGCUGGCUGCUUGGUGCCCCGUGAGGAGAACUUGGAAAUGCUGUGCCCUUCAGCUCACAAAGUUUCCUGGCUCUUGCAGUCUGAUUUUCCAGGAAAGGGUACAAUCUAAACCCUCCAAUGAUUUGGUUAGCUGUUUUUCUUAAAAUUAAGGGAUUCAAAAUAAUGCCAAAUUGCUACCCAUGCCCUGGAGGACUAGGAGGCAAGCCAAAAAUGUGUUGUCACAAUGCACAUUACCUGAAAUUUUCACUAAAUUAAAAAGGGCUGUGAAGAAGUGACUCCCAAACUAUUUUAAAAAGUAGUUGCUGAAGAACUACUUCUGAAACACCCAUGAGACGUGAAGAACAACCGGUGAUCUCCUACAGGGAACAAUCUGCCACCAGAAGAGCUGUGCAUUUAAGUGAUUGUUUUGGCUCUGUUGCCAACUCAUGCCCUCAUUCUAAGGCGCACACAAAAACCAUAAAAUAAAAAAAUUAAAACAAAAAUUGUUUCUUGGGAAAGGAAAUCCUAAGAACAUCGAAUGUGUUCAAAAGACAUUCAUUUGGGUACUUGCAGAUGAAGGAAAUAAAUGCCAGAUUCACAGAAGCUGAGGUGGAACAUGCAUCGGGACUGGAGAACUAGUUCAGUUUCCAUCUCUCGGAAGAAAUGUGUGCACGUGCCACACAGGACAACAUUCUUAGUAAUCCCCUGUAAGGUGGCCGUGUCUGCUCAUGGUUUGGAGCGUUGCUCCUUGGUCUCUUCCAAUGAGACAUCCACUUUGUGUGCAGCAUUUUAUGUUCACACAGUCUAGGAACCAAACAACCACUUCCCUGCUGCGUGGGUCGUUUUCACAUUCAGCUCUAGCAAACAUUAAAAGCAGUUUGUUCCAAGAAGAUUAACUUCAAAUGGACUGCCUAAGGUAACCCAGAAGAGUUUAAAGUGACCUAGCAGCCACUUGUAGGAUAGUCAUCUGCAAGAUGGAAGAGCUAGGUUAAAACCUGCCUUUAAAAGAAGCACCACAGCUUUGAAUGGGCAUUCAGUACUUCCCAGUAAAGCCCCUAAGUGCCUCUGUGUCUCAGGAUUCUAUUUGAACUGAGCAAAGCUGGCUAGUGUUUGAGUGCUCUUCAGAUAAGCUCUGGGAAAUCAGGCAAGAAUAGUGUUUCAGGUUAUUGAGAAAGAUGAAGAAAUUGCUUGAUGUCACUGCACUGAUGAUGGGAAGACCCUUAUUUCUCCUUUCUUCUCUUCCUCAUAUGUGGAACUAGAGAGAACACGAGUAAGAGUGCAGCAGGAUCGCCUGUCAUCGCCUGUGGUGGGGGUGGAGAAACCUGGUCCUUCCAUGCCACCUAGUGUAGGAAGCUGAGCAGCAGCCCUGCGAGGAUGGGCUCUGCAAGCUUCCUGAAUUUUGCUCUGCCACUUAUUUUAUUGUCUCCAGUGGAUUUCUGACUGAGGUGUCCAGCCACUGUCCUGAUGGGGCUGAUAGGCAACAUUACCUUCAGCCAGGAUCGAUCCUUCCUUGCAUUGGGUUUAAAAGCAGAUCUUGUCCUUCCUCCUCCCUACCCUCACCUGUGUACAGGCUUCCAUGCUCCCACAUGCUUUCACUGUGGCAUAAAUAAGGUUUUAUGUGGUGUGUAAAUAAGGAAAUCCCUAGAAGCAAAAGAGCACUUUAGAAGUUUGGCUUGCGUGAUGGCAAAAUGAUGACAUGUAACUUCAACACUAAUGAAGGCCGUAUGUGUGCAACGUGUUGAGAAAUGGGUGAAACAUAACACAGGGGAAGAAGAGAUGGAAUGUCAUCAUAUGUUUUCCAUUUGCAUCCACAUUAGAAAAAAAAGAUACAGUAUUUCUACUCUUUCCAAGGCGAUGUGAUGUAUGUGUCUGGUUCCAUUAUUAAAGAGAGAUCAAAAUGAUUUUAAAUAUGUUUUAGUAUUAAAGCAAUAUAAAGUGAAUGUUGGCUAUUUUGAGUCAUCAGACGCACUCUUGGCCUUUCUGCUUUUUCCUGUUCUUGGAACUCCCCCGUAUUUCUAGUUAACAGAACCCCUGAAGAUGACUGAUGUUUAAAUAUUUAAACUACCUCUUUUUUUUUUUAACUUUUUUUUCUAGCGUAAUUAUUGAUCCCACAAUGCUUAGUGUGUAAGAAGCAAUCCUGAGUUCCUGAAGUAAAAACCACCUUCCAAAAGCCAGGCUUUUAAAAGAUGAGUCAUUGGCUGGCACUUGCAUGUUUUUUUGGCACUUAGCUUAAAGUAAGAAGUUUUGAGGAGAACUUGUGUGUAACAAGUUUGUUUUUUACUUUUUUUUUUCCUCUAAAGAGUGCUUGGCCUACAGCCUGUCAACUUUCAAAGAAAAAUGAUGACAUGUAACUUGUGUAAUAAACCCGCAGUGUCCUGGAUGAAACUAGGGGGCACUCUUGUAUGUGGUGUUUAACUCCUUCCUGCACAUUCCGCAAUUUUCUAUGUCCUUCUUGUAUUUGUGCAAGAACAGGAAGGCAGGACUGAGGUGAAACAGUCCAAGGGGCCAUAUUUCUCUAGGCACACAUCUUUUUCUCUGCUGGAUCUGUGAGGGGCUGCCAGAGCUUUGGUUUCCUCUGGGGCUGCAGAAGCCAAGGUUUCUCACUAGCCCCUGUUGCUUCUUCCUCAUUUCCGCAUGAUUAUUAUCCCCAGAACAAAUGCUGGAUUGCUGGAAGAUAUCUCAUAAUUGACUCACUUGGGACUGUGUCUCUUUGUCCCCUCAGGCAUGACCUGGAGCUGGGAAACAGAGGGAAGACAUCUGACUGUGUCAGCUGAAGUGCUCUUAGCAUCUGGCUGUAGAUUUAAAUCUUUUCCUUAGUUUUUUUUUCCAGUUCACUGGAAGAAACUCUGCUGGUAUAGGUCACAAAAGAUUAACAGAAAAGGUUGACAAAUGGCAAGCUGGCAACACUGGAAACAGAUUUCCCAUUGAUCCACAAAACAGCUUCUAGUACUGGUAAAGGAAUUGCCCCAACUCCUCAGGCACCUGCAGUACCUUAGCCACUUCUGAAGACGUGACAAAGAUAUAGAACUCAUCCUUCAGCUGCUGGAGCUUCCGCUUGCAGAGGCUAACUCUGUGGGCCUCUUCUGGUUUUGAUUCAUGCUGUAGAAAGGUUUGAUGUGAACCGAAGGAGAGGUCUCCUGAAUCCUGUUCCUGACCUCUUGGCCAAGAUGCUCACUGAAGGGUCUCAUCAUUUACUCCCUUAGUGGAGGUGUUCCUGGGACAUAUGACUAAAAUUUCACCUCAUUCUAUGCUAGUAUGGUCUUCAUCUCCAAGCCUCAGUCAAAUGUGCAAAUGACAUGAAAGGUUAUUCUGCAGUUCUUCACUGAACGCUGCAGAAAUUAGAUUAAAAUUCAUCAGAU
ensembl:lncRNA